CUGGGGCUAGCCUCAUCUGCAAGCCGAACCUGGAGAGCCCCAGAGCUCGUGGCCUGUUAUCAUAGUAGCUAACUUUUACAGCGUGCUUAGCCGUGCCAGGCACUGCGUAAGCGCUUCACACGCGUCAUUUCAUUUGCUCCAACAACUCUUUGAAGUAGCACGGAGUACUAUACACGGACCAGUUUUAAAGUCGAAAAAAAGACGGAGUAAGUUGGGGAGAGGCCGACAGAGAGGGAGGGAGAAUCUCAAGACUCCACCCUCUGUCUGUAACCCCUUGGAGGAGCUGGAUUUCACACCCUGAAAUCAUGACCUGAGUGGAAAUCAAGUGUGCUGUCUAGGGAGUAAGCCACCCAGUCUCCCUGAUCGGUCCUGUCUUGGGCUGGUAACAUUAUGGAAUCCCUGUUGAAAUGCAAGCUGGACUGGUGGAAAUCAGAUUCCCAUAUUCUCUCAUAAGCUGCUUGUGAAGGUGAGGAAACAGGCGCAGGAAGGCUAACAAUUUACCCAAGUUCCCAUGGCUGCCCAGGAUUGCGUUUUCUCCUCUCAACCGUGCGUUCUGCGUGAGGCACCAGUCCCAGCUCUAGUCCUGGGACUCAGGAUCUCCACUUGGUCCAUCAAAUCAUCAAAUCCUUUGUCCCAUCCGCAGCAUAGGGAAAGGGAAAACCGCAGAGAUUUCUUUAAGGAUGGGCCACAUGACCCAGCUGUAGCCAAUGAACUACAUCUGAGGCUUUCCUGGGAUUGGCUGGAGAGAGGCAGGAGCCCUCCUUCCAUUGGUUAUUAUUAUUAUUUUUUAAAGAUUUUAUUUAUUAGUCAGAGAGAAAGAGGGAGUGAGAGCACAAGCAGGGGGAGAGGGAGAGAGGCAGAGGGAGAAACAGGCCCCCUGCUGAGAAGCAGCCUAAUGCAGAUCUUGAUGCCAGGAUGGUGGGAUCAUGACCAGAGGUGGAAGCAGAUGUUUAACCACCCAGGCUCUCCUUCCAUUGAUUCUUAAAUCUGGGAAAAGGUGAAGCUGGAGGUGCGGCAGCCAGUUUGAUACCCUGAGAUGAAAGCUUGAAGCUAUGGCAGAGGCUGGAGACCUUUGAGGAGCCCAGGGAUGAAUGAAACCCCCACUGAAGAAAGAGCUGGGAAAAUUCAGCGGAAAAAUUCAGUCCCCAUGACAUCAUUUGAGUCUUACGCCUGAGGCCAGCCCUAUCAUUAGAGUGUUUAGUUGUUCAAACCAACAAACCUCCUUAGUUGCUUAAGCUGGUUGAGAUUGUAUUUUCUGUUGAUAAAAAGUCAUGCCAGUGCAGGUCUGGAGUCCAAAGGUAUUGGGAAUUUGCCAAGAUACAGCUCUAGGUGCUGAGAAUGAGGCUGGAGUACGGUCAUCAGAGCUGGGCUCCAAUGCCUGACUCCCUCCCCUCCCUAGCGCCUGCGUGGAGGAGGCGUGACUCAGUGCUGGUUUCUGUUGGAGAGAUGCUAGAGUGGUUUAUGCCCUUGUUAUCUCAGCUCAGGUCUGGUCUGGAAACUAGCAGCAGGACUGGACUUGGAGAUGGGGGACCAUAACCCUUCAGCUGUGGAGAGUGAAGGGGCAGGUUGGACACAUAUUGUCAAGGACUAUGGUAAGACAGAAACUUCAUGCUGUGUUACAUAUCUUCAUUGCAUGGACCCUUUAUUCUCUCCAGGGAAUGUGUCUUUAAUUUGGGUCUCUGCCCUAAACAUCAUCCCCACCCUCCUGUGGUCUGCUGAACUUCCACAACUGGGUUAGACAUCUCUCCUCAGUGUUCUCCUAGGCUCUUUAACGCAAGGAGCAUCACAUUUUCAUCCUGUAUUUUUACUCACUCAUCCAGCAACUAUUUAUUGAGUGCCUGCUGUGUGCCAAGAGCUAUUCCAGGCACUGGAGGUAUACCAGUGACCAAGACAGACAGAAAUCCCUGCCUGCAAGGAGUUACAUUCUAAGGGGUGGAGAGAGGCAAUAAAUAAGUAAAUUAUAAGCUAUAUUCAAAGUAGAUGUGUGCCAAGGGGAAAAAAGCAGGAAAAAGAGGAUGAGGCCUGACAGGGAAAGUGGUGACAAUUUUUCAUGGACUAGUGAGGGAAGACUUCAUGGGAAGGUGGCAUUUAAGCAGACUUGAAGUAGAUGAGUGAACAAGCCUUGUAGAUAUCUGCGGGAAAAGCUCUCCAGGUGAAUGGAAAGGCAAGUGCAGAGGCCCCGAGGUGUGCGGGCUUGGUGUGGCCGAGGAACAGCAGGGAAGCCAUCGUGGGCAGAGUGGAGUGAGCACAAGGGAGUGGAGUAAGCAAUUGAGGUCAGCAUGGGGUUGACAGGGAAAUAAGGAUCAGAGGUAUUUCAGUUAUUUACUGCUGUAUAAGGAACCACUUUAAAACUUAGUGGUUUAGUGUAACACUUUAUUAUUUCUCAUGAUCCUGUGGUUUGACUAGGAAGUUAUCCUCAUGACUUGAGAAGUUGUGAAAAUAUGAGAAGAGGGUCUCGUCAGGGGUCCCUCUUGUGGCUGCUCAGGCAGGACACUAGGCUGGCUGGCCCUCUCUCCUGAUGUGGUUUCUCAUUAUUCAUGUGUCUUGCCCAACUUUCUUAUGUGGCAGAGGGGUCCCAAAAGGGAGCAUUCCAGGGGGACAAGCUCCAGUGUGGAAGUGCUUUUCUAGCCUUCUAUCACAUUUGCUCAUGUACCAGUGGCCAGAGUGCCCAUAUGGCCAAGCCCAGAGUCAAUUUAGAAAAGGACCACAUGAAUACCAGGACAUGAGAUUCACUGGGGCCACCCAUGAAGGUUUAGGGAUCCUUUUUUCUAAAUCUAUUGAAAGAGUGGGGCAAGGGUGUACAUGAUUGAUGGGCUUUGGGGUUGGGCUGGAAUAGCGGAGAGAGGCCAGGUCAAGAAUGUUGACCACAUUCCUGUGAUCUAGUUGACUAGCUUUGUCCUUUGGUAGAGCCAAGGGGUCACUUGAGAAAACUGCAUAGUUCCCCACUGUUUCUAUCAGCCUCCACUUCCUUUGAUAUGAACACUUGGCAUCUUCUCAGUUGCAUUUAAGGUACUUUGCAAAUACGUUUUCAUGACAAGCCCCCAAACUCAGUCUCUAACCAGACUGCUGCCCUUAAGCUGCGCCUAGGUAUGAAUUUUGGUUUUACCACUGACCCUGUACAUGAAAAGAAAUGGGAUCUGGCGAAUCCAUCAGGUGAACCAGUGCCAUUGACCUUAAUUUGAAAGAAAUAGAGAUGAAACUACAAGGCACUGGUAGCCUGCCAACGUGAUCGUUCAUUGAUUCAUACAACAAAUAUUUGCUGAGCACCUGUUAUGAGGUAGGGAUAAUGCCAUCACCAUCAUUUAAAAGGACUACAGAGGGGACUCAUAGAGGGGACCCUGAAAUCUGUGCAUUGAGUCUCAUUUAAUAAUAACUCUCAUUGAUAAUUGCUUCCUCUGUGAGAUAUUCAUAAAGAAAGCUUUUAGAGAGUCUUCCCUGAACUGUAGAUUCCCUUCAUGUCCUUGUCAUCCAUAGCCUUUGGAAUCGUUUCAGUGCUAUUUUGAUUAUUUUGUUUUUCAAAGUAAAAAUUCAUCUAUAUACAUUUUGUUGAUUUUAUUAAUGAUACAUAAUUGUUGAAAAAUACCCAAACACGCUGACAGUGAAAAACAGAGUGUACAGUUGUUUUUUUUAAUUCUACCAUCCAGACGGCCGUAGUUACUAUUAACAUUUUAGUGUGCAGCCUCCAGACACUCCUCAGUGAAUAUCCACAUGUGAUGCAAUAAAUGGGAUCAUGUUCUAACCUGAGUUUAAAAAAAUCUCAUUUUGUGGACGUGCAACUUUAUCCAGUCCCAGACUGAGGGAUAUUUAAGUUGUUUCCAAUUUUGCAACUAGGAUUAAGUAAUUUUUUGAUUCUCUGACUUCAACUCAGACCCUGAGGUUUUCCUCU